AUAAAUAAAUCUUUACUUUAUUUCCUAGGGGGUAAAAGUGCCAGGUUGCUGAAGGACUCAAAGUCCCGGAAGGGGGGAGAGCAAAUCACAGGUGGAUGAUUUCAUAUACAGCCUUCCAGCCCAUAGUCUAAACUCCAAAGCCUAAGAAACAUGUAAAAAAAAAUUAAAGAUAGUGUGACAACUACCGUACCCGGGUCCUCAAAAACUGAAAGUGAGAGUCUCCACAGCUUGAGCUACAGAGCCAGCCGCUCAAGGUCAGAACUGUGCCCGAGCAUCGCUGUGGAUUAGGCACAGGGAGGAGCAACCUCACACACAUUGACCAGUGAUUACAAUCCAUAUAAAAUUUGCACAUAUUUUGAUUGGUUCCCCUUCCCCUUGUACAUUGCUUGUUGGCUCAGGCCCCAAUCCUACAUCUGAAUCCAUAUAGCAGGACUCUUAUAGCCCAGAUGAGGUCUCACUGAAGUCAGUGGGUCUCUGCAGAGUUCCCAGAGUCCACAUGCAUGCAUCUGAUUGCAAACCUGCAGCCAAAGAUCAAGGCAGAGAGUUCCUGUGUGUGCGGACAAUGCCUACUACAUUGUGGAUGCUACCAGAAUAUAAAAGGAUUCAGUACUUUUCCAGGAGCUGCAGUCACCUUUCACUUAGAAAGGACACCAUCUUGUAUAAAUGACAGGUCUCCUGCUGCCAAGGAGCUUACAAUCUAAGGGCCCAAUCCUCCAAGAUGCUGAAUGACCCCUGCAAGGUAACAGAGCACCUUUAACUCCUAUUAAUACUAGUGGGAGAUGAGCACCCUUCAGGAGGUAUUCAGAUGUGGAAGAUACUUUGUACUUAAAUAUAUAGCUAAAUAUACUGUAUUUUAAGAUUGACAAGUAUGUAUACCAAUCAUGCAUUUCCCUUCUAGUACUUAUGUCACUUGUGCUGAUAUAGACUUUUCCAUUCUUAUUUUCUUUGCAAAAUAAAAUUAAUAUUUGAAUGUUUGUUCAUUAUGUUGUAAUGUAGUAGAAACAUACUAUUUAAAUGGUUGCAAAUAACUAGCUUCAAUAUUUUUCCUAUGCAAGUUAUAAACAAUUCAAGUAUUGAGUAAAUGAUCAUAAAAGUGUUAUCUGCAUGUUGUACUUCCAAAUACUUUAUUGCAUCCAUAAACAAGACUAACCUCAUCCAACAUUAAAAUGUAAGGAAUCAAAUGUAUAAGAUCACAUAAGUGGAAGAGAAGAAAAGUUAGUAAUCUGUUGCAUUUAAGAUGCUGAUUGUUUUAACCCACUCACAUUCCUUGAUGCUAGGAUUCUUGAAUAUUUAGAUCAACAAGCACUGCUUGUAGUAAACAUAGCAACUUUAAAGAGUGCAAAUAACUAAGAUGCUUUUCUGUGGUUGGAUUAUACAUCACUACUUUUGAUAUUUUGUCUAUUUUAAGUUCUAUCUUUCUCUCAUACCAACAGAUCAGGAGAGAAUUAGUCCCUUUAAUAAGAGGAUAUGUCUUUUACAUAUGAAAAGAAAGAAUUUAGAAAUGGCAAUGUGUUUUCCUGCCAAUCAAAAUGAUUAAGAAAUACAAAUAUUUAACAUGAUCAAUGAAGUAGACAGUAUUUCCCUCCAAUAUUUUACAUCAAGUUGAUACAAAAUACUCAAAGCAAUCUACACAAAGCUUCUGAUGCAAGAGCAGAUCAUUUUCACACGGUUUCUCUAUUUGGAAAGAUGGAUUCCUUCUCUUUUAGCAACAGAAGUAGAGCUAAGCAGGCAGACACUUUACAAUAUAUUUGUUUUAAUGAAGAAAUAGCCAACACAGUCAGAAAAAAUGUGUUCAAGUAAGGCGAGAACUGCUUCAACAAAGCCCUGCUCACACUGACAUGAACAUUUCUGCUGAAACAGGUCCGCAACAUACUACUUGACAACAGAACAGACUAUUUUCAUAUAUCCGUUUAAGGAAAAUCUCCUCCUCUUUUCUCCUCGCUACAUCAACAGGAGGAUUACUUGGCAUAAGUGUUCACAAAAAAUACUGUUUGCUCUCUGGCCUGAAGGAGCAAAGUCCACAUUUAUGGCAUGGAUUUGGAGUAAGUCUACUUAUCACUAAAGGAAUAUAUGAAAGCAGAAAAACAAAGUGGGUUUUUUCUUAUACUGUAAAGGAAAUUUGUUCAAGAAACAGAUGUCACAAGACAGCACAGCUUUGAGAGCUCACUUCACUGUCAAGUGACUUCCCAUGUGAUCAGCACAAGUCUGCGAUUCCAUUAGGCUUUUUUUUUUUUUUAGGCACAGGAAAAUUGAGGAUUUGAAAAGUAACGAUGUUGGACCCACUGUACUGUUUGUGAUAGCGCCAGCAAAGUAAAUAAAUCUUCUGUGAGGAAAGCUAGCAUUUCCACUGUGGAAAGUCCAAGUCUUCUAGACCAUUUGAAGUUCUAUAUCAAUAAAAUGAUGAUUAAAGUU